rnacentral:rRNA from 1 species
CGGCGGACGGGUGAGUAACGCGUGGGUAACCUGCCUCGUGCAGGGGGAUAACAGUUGGAAACGGCUGCUAAUACCGCAUAAGCGCACAGUACCGCAUGGUACGGUGUGAAAAACUCCGGUGGUAUGAGAUGGACCCGCGUCUGAUUAGGUAGUUGGUGGGGUAACGGCCUACCAAGCCGACGAUCAGUAGCCGACCUGAGAGGGUGACCGGCCACAUUGGGACUGAGACACGGCCCAA